rnacentral:rRNA from 1 species
UACGAAGGGGGCUAGCGUUGCUCGGAAUCACUGGGCGUAAAGCGCACGUAGGCGGCUUUAUAAGUCGGGGGUGAAAGCCUGUGGCUCAACCACAGAAUUGCCUUCGAUACUGUAGAGCUUGAGACCGGAAGAGGUAAGUGGAACUGCGAGUGUAGAGGUGAAAUUCGUAGAUAUUCGCAAGAACACCAGUGGCGAAGGCGGCUUACUGGUCCGGUUCUGACGCUGAGGCGCGAAAGCGUGGGGAGCAAACAGG